rnacentral:rRNA from 1 species
CCUACGGGAGGCAGUAGUGGGGAAUAUUGGACAAUGGGGGGAACCCUGAUCCAGCGACGCCGCGUGAGUGAAGAAGUAUUUCGGUAUGUAAAGCUCUAUCAGCCGGGAAGAAAGAAAUGACGGUACCUGACUAAGAAGCCCCGGCUAACUACGUGCCAGCAUCAGCGGUAAUACGUAGGUGGCAAGCGUUAUCCGGAUUUACUGGGUGUAAAGGGAGCGUAGACGGCGAUGCAAGUCUGAAGUGAAAGGCGGGGGCGCAACCCCUGGACUGCUUUGGAAACUGUAUGGCUGGAGUGCAGGAGAGGUAAGUGGAAUUCCUAGUGUAGCGGUGAAAUGCGUAGAUAUUAGGAGGAACACCAGUGGCGAAGGCGGCUUACUGGACUGUAACUGACGUUGAGGCUCGAAAGCGUGGGGAGCAAACAGGAUUAGAUACCCGUGUAGUC